AGAGUUUGAUCCUGGCUCAGGACGAACGCUGGCGGCGUGCCUAACACAUGCAAGUCGAACGGAGAAUUUCAAUAAGCUUGCUUAGCGAAAUUUUUAGUGGCGGACGGGUGAGUAACGCGUGGGUAACCUACCCAUAAAUCCGGGACAACCCUUGGAAACGAGGGCUAAUACCGGAUAAUCUUAGAGCUUGGCAUCAAGCAUUAAGGAAAGGUGGCCUCUGAAGAUGCUACCGAUUAUGGAUGGACCCGCGUCUGAUUAGCUAGUUGGUGGGGUAAAGGCCUACCAAGGCGACGAUCAGUAGCCGGCCUGAGAGGGUGAACGGCCACACUGGGACUGAGACACGGCCCAGACUCCUACGGGAGGCAGCAGUGGGGAAUCUUCCGCAAUGGACGAAAGUCUGACGGAGCAACGCCGCGUGUAUGAUGAAGGUCUUCGGAUUGUAAAGUACUGUCUUUGGGGAAGAAUGACUGAUUUGAAAAUAUUGAGUCAGUAUGACGGUACCCAAGGAGGAAGCCCCGGCUAACUACGUGCCAGCAGCCGCGGUAAUACGUAGGGGGCAAGCGUUGUCCGGAAUUAUUGGGCGUAAAGGGCGCGUAGGCGGAUCGUUAAGUCCGGUGUGAAAGAUCAGGGCUCAACCCUGAGAGUGCAUCGGAAACUGGGGAUCUUGAGGACAGGAGAGGAAAGUGGAAUUCCACGUGUAGCGGUGAAAUGCGUAGAUAUGUGGAGGAACACCUGUGGCGAAGGCGACUUUCUGGACUGUAACUGACGCUGAGGCGCGA
rnacentral:rRNA from 1 species